AGAAAAUAUAACAAAGAAUUUACAGGUUUUUGACACUAGCACAACAAAUUUUAAUAGCAGUUAUCUAUUUAGAUAAAAAUUCUAUACAAAUCCGGAAUAUAAAUCAUCUCAAUCAUAUCAUACAAGCAUUUGGAUUCAGACCCAGUGCAUGUAACUGCAUAACUUAAAUAUUUACAAAAUGUACACAUUUACCUAAGUACUAAAAAAAGUUGUUUUUUUUUUUUACAUUUUGAAAUGUUUUAUCUUGUAG